CCUUCCCUCCCAUCCGCCGCCUUGUUGGGCUCGCUGCGCCACUGCGCCCAUACAUCCAAGACGCUAAUCCGCGUAGGGAAAGACGCCCUGAAAUCGUCCAAAUGGCGCGAGGCGUGCCACAGCCGCAGUCGUCUCGUGUGCAGGCCCUCUACGAGCUCUGCAAGCGCUCCUUCCCCUCCCCUUCCGCCGCCGGCGCCGCCUCGUCGUCUCCCCCGCCCGCUGAUGUCAUCCGCAGCAUCUCCUCUCUCAUGGAUACAAUCACUCCUGCGGAUGUUGGGCUCAGAGAUUAUAAUCUUGAGGACGACAGGGGGCAUGGAUUUUUUGGCUCCGACUUGCUCAAGGGUUCAGGAAGGCUGCCUCGGUGGGCGAGGCCCAUCAAGUACCUUCAUAUCUACAGCUGUGAUGCGUUCUCUAUUGCAAUAUUCUGCUUGCCAACUUCAUCUGUCAUUCCUCUUCAUGACCAUCCCGGAAUGACUGUACUGAGCAAAAUCCUUUAUGGUUCCAUUCAUGUGAAAUCAUAUGAUUGGAUAGAGCCUACUGUCCUAGCAAGAAGCCAGCCAGCAAGGUUGGCCAAAUUACAUAUGGAUGAUGUUCUUACUGCUCCAUGUCCAACCUCCAUUUUGUAUCCUCAAAGUGGUGGGAAUCUGCACUGCUUCACUUCAGUAUCUUCUUGUGCUGUUCUUGAUGUCCUUGCUCCACCAUAUAACAAUGACGCUGGUCGGCUUUGCACUUAUUUUCAUGACUAUCCAUUUUCAAGCCUCUCAGCAGCUGGACGCAGAAAGGUAGCUGGUGACCCAGAUAAAUAUGCAUGGCUGGAGGCCAUAAACACUGAAGUGAAUGUCUACAUGCAAACUGGCAUGUAUACCGGUCCAACUGUACAGGAACUUCAAGCAUGAUCUAAGAUGAACCGGAACAUCAAGCAGCAGCUGGGUGCCUCUUCGCUGAUAGUAGAUCUCUAAUGUUGCGAUAUAAAAUUCAACCAUCUCUUAGGGCUAUUCAGUCCUUUCAACGGGCCUAGCACUGCCACUGACACGUGCAAAGACAAUCAAGCGGAUUUCUCCUAUGAUCAUCAAAAGAACAAGAAACGGAGUACCAUUUCACUGGUUUUGCUUUGUAACGGCUAGUAGGUAUUGUUUGGGCGUGUCAAACACCGAUGUACCGUUUUCAUGUUUGAGUCUUGUUUUUAGAAGGAAAAUGUCCCUUUUCUAACGUUGAUGUACCGAUGUGAGUCUAGGUACUCAAUCUGGCAACACAAUAUGCAGAUUUUAGCUUUAAUCUGUUCUCGGAUCUACUUGACUACUUUAUCUCAAUUCUCAAACUCCUUCUGAUAGCAUGUUAUUUAUUGUACUUAGCUGAAACCAUACUCUUUAUAUUAUAGACUUUUGAGUACCUAGCUCAUGGUUUCAAUUUA